rnacentral:rRNA from 1 species
GACGAACGCUGGCGGCGUGCCUAAUACAUGCAAGUCGAGCGAAGCGGCGGAUGGGUGAGUAACGCGUGGGUAACCUGCCCUUAAGUCUGGGAUACCAUUUGGAAACAGAUGCUAAUACCGGAUUUUAAUGGAUGGACCUGCGAUGACUUAGCUGGUUGGUAAGGUAACGACUUACCAAGGCGAUGAUACAUAGCCGAGUUGAGAGACGGAUCGGCCACAUGGGUGCUGAGACACGGCCCAAACUCCUACGGGAGGCAGCAGUAGGGAAUCUUCCACAAUGGACGAAAGUCUGAUGGAGCAACGCCGCGUGAGUGAAGAAGGUUUUCGGAUCGUAAAGCUCUGUUGUUGGUGAAGCGGUAAUCAACCAGAAAGUCACGGCUAACUACGUGCCAGCAGCCGCGGUAAUAC